rnacentral:lncRNA from 1 species
GAAGUAUACAAAACAUGAAAAAUAGUCAAUGCUAGAAACUAAAUAAUCAUGACAAGAAUGCCUACACGUAGCUAAAAUCAAAUUAAACAAAAAUACAUCUUUCAAAUAUAUACUCAACUCUGUCAAAUAUUUUAAAGUUUGUACCAAUUUCAUCUUACAUAAAGAAUAUCUAAAUUUACCUCUCAGGAAGGACUAAACAAAGUGUGACAGCAGUUGCAUGUUGAAAAUAUAGAAAAAUUGAUGCCACUGUCAACUUCUGAUACACCCAAUGGAAAUGCCUGGCCUGGGAAAAUUUUCCAUGAUGGUCUGCUCUCCAUCACUUUGGAGGAUUCUUCCUGUAAGUAGAUAUGCAAGGUGGGACUUAUCAUAGUUGAAGUGCUCUAUUUGAUACUCAGGAAAAACUUUUUGGUAUGCGAUAUAUAAUCUUUCAAGUUGUGCUAUUUAGACAGGCUACUAAACCUAUGAAAAUACAAUAUUGCUUUAAUUACAUCAAUUUCAUCCCACCUUAUUUGCUUCUACAAUUAAAAUUUGAACUUAUUCAAUGUCAACAAAAUUUAAAAAAGACUUCCUAUCCGUGAACCUUGCUCUCUUUUAUAUCACAUGGACAGACUAUAUACAUAAAUUUUGUUUGGGUAAACUUUUUCAUAGUCAUUAUUCAUUGGAGAAAAAAAUAAUAAGGAAACAUAAAAUAGCUUACGUAUAAUUUUAAAAUCAACUUUUAGAGAAGCUAAUAUAACAGAACUUCUAUAAAUUACGUAUCAGAUCCAAUUUUAGCUUUGGGAGAAAAUCGUUUUAUUUAUCCCUAGAAAGCUUACAAAGAAAUCUAUCUAAACAAACCCAUACAUUAAAUACCAAGUUGCAUUCCCAAUUCCAGUUGUGUUACAAUCACGCUCUCUGACAUUUAUUGUACGAAAUAAAAGUUUGGUUUAAUUACCUUUUUCGUCCCUAUAUUUAUAGUCUAUAGUCAAUUUGUUACCGUGGUUUUUAAAAAAUUCAAUUUGGUCCCUAUGUUUUAUAAAAUGUAUUCAAAAUGGUCUUUUCUGUUAAAUAUCACCAAACGGCGUUAAACACGUAUAAGUUAUGUGGAUAGUGCUUACAUUACUUUAAUGAAUACUGAAUUAGGAUUUAGGUUAUUCAAAUUGGGGAUUUCGAAUUUCUGAUUUAGGGUUUCUAAUACGAGGAUUGCUCCCCUAGUUAGAUUCUGUGGUGUGCUUCCCUGCUUCGAUUCCAUUCGGAGAUGUGCUCCCCCUCAUUCGAUUCUGUGGCGGACCACAAAUGACAAACAAAUUACAAACCAAACGUUGGACCACACAUCACAAAAUUAUGUCAGAGACCAAAUGUUGGACCACACAUAAAAAAAUGUUGCACAUGGUGGACCCUACAUCAUAAACAACCUGCAUAUGUUCUCUAAAAGUAAUAAAAAACAUAACAGAACCACUCUGAAACUAAGUCAAAAAAUUACUAACCUUAUAAAGGAGCAACCACAAAACGACACCACGGUCUGUAUCGCAAUCGCUGCCCGUUCACCACCUCUGGACCGCACCACAUAAUCGUUCCUCCAAAUCGACCAUGGGAACGCAGCUCACCAUCGUAACUCACGAUCGCACCACAGAAUCGAAUGAGGGGAGCACACCUCCGAAUGGAAUCGAAGUAGGGAAGCGCACCACAUAAUCCAACCAGGGGAGCAAUCCUCGUAUCAGAAAUUCGAAAUCCCCAAUUUGAAUAACCUAAACCCUAAUUCAGUAUUCACAAAAGUAAUGUAAGCAUAAUCGACGUAACUUACACGUGUCUGCCACAUAAGCACCACUUAACGUCGUUUGAUGAUAUUUAACGGAAAUGACCUUUUUAAAUACAUUUUAAAAAACUUAGGAACCAAAUUGAUUUUUUUAAAAACCACUGUACCAAAUUGACUAUUGACUAUAAAUAUAGGGACGAAAAAGGUAAUUAAACCUAAAAGUUUUCAUCGCAUAUUAAUGACUUAAAUAUCGGAAGAACCCCUUCUUGAGCACGACGGCGAUAAGCAUCAGGUGUUCUAAGCUUGGGACGAU